UGGGGAAUAUUGGACAAUGGGCGCAAGCCUGAUCCAGCCAUGCCGCGUGAGUGACGAAGGCCUUAGGGUUGUAAAGCUCUUUUGGCGGGGAAGAUAAUGACGGUACCCGCAGAAUAAGCUCCGGCUAACUUCGUGCCAGCAGCCGCGGUAAUACGAAGGGAGCUAGCGUUGUUCGGAAUCACUGGGCGUAAAGCGCACGUAGGUGGGCAGUUAAGUCAGGGGUGAAAGCCCGAGGCUCAACCUCGGAAUUGCCUCUGAUACUGGCUGUCUAGAGUCCGAGAGAGGUGGGUGGAAUUCCUAGUGUAGAGGUGAAAUUCGUAGAUAUUAGGAAGAACACCGGUGGCGAAGGCGGCCCACUGGCUCGGUACUGACACUGAGGUGCGAAAGCGUGGGGAGCAAACAGGAUUAGAUACCCCGUAGUCCCUGAGCGGGCUGGCAAGGCGCAU
rnacentral:rRNA from 1 species